rnacentral:rRNA from 1 species
AUUGAACGCUGGCGGCAGGCCUAACACAUGCAAGUCGAGCGAGCGGCGGACGGGUGAGUAAUGUCUGGGAAACUGCCUGAUGGAGGGGGAUAACUACUGGAAACGGUAGCUAAUACCGCAUACCAUCAGAUGUGCCCAGAUGGGAUUAGCUAGUAGGUGGGGUUACUGCUCACCUAGGCGACGAUCCCUAGCUGGUCUGAGAGGAUGACCAGCCACAAUGGAACAGAGACACGGUACAGACUCCGACGGGAGGCAGCAGUGGGGAAUACUGAACAAUGGGCGCAAGCCUGAUUCAGCCAUGCCGAGUGUGUGAAGAAGGACUUCGGGUUGUAAAGCACUUUCAGCGGGGAGGCGUUACCCGCAGAAGAAGCACCGGCUAAGUCCGUGCCAGCAGCCGCGGUAAUUC